rnacentral:rRNA from 1 species
AGAGUUUGAUCAUGGCUCAGAACGAACGCUGGCGGCAUGCCUAACACAUGCAAGUCGAACGCACCGCAAGGUGAGUGGCGCACGGGUGAGUAACGCGUGGGAACCUGCCCUGGAGUGGGGGAUAACCGAGGGAAACCUCGGCUAAUACCGCAUACGUCCUUAGGGAGAAAGAUUUAUCGCUCUAGGAGGGGCCCGCGUCGGAUUAGCUUGUUGGCGAGGUAAUGGCUCACCAAGGCAUCGAUCGGUAGCCGGACUGAGAGGUUGACCGGCCACACUGGAACUGANACACGGUCCAGACUCCUACGGGAGGCAGCAGUGGGGAAUCUUGCACAAUGGACGAAAGUCUGAUGCAGCAACGCCGCGUGGGGGAUGAAGCUUCUCGGAGUGUAAACCCCUUUCGACCCGGAAGAAUGCCCNCAAGGGNUUGACNGUACNNGUAUAANAANCCCCGGCUAACUACGUGCCANCANCCNCGGUAAUACNUAUGGNGCCAGCNUUGCUCGGAAUUACUGGNCNUAAAGGGUCCNUANGCNGUGCGNCAAGUCUAGAGUGAAAUCCCUANGCUUAACCUAAGGGCUGCUAGCGAAACUGCCGUGCUAAAGUGUGAGANANNCNAGUGGAAUUACGGGUGUAGCGGUGAAAUGCGUAGAUAUCCGUAGGAACAUCCGAGGNUAAAGCGGCUCGCUGGAUCNCAACUGACGCUGAGAGACGAAAGCUAGGGGANCAAACNGGAUUAGAUACCCC